UGUUGUGACUUGUCUUCGCUGCAGUAAACAUUGCACGAUCUAUUUAUAACGCGAACGCCAGUGCAAUAAAUGCAUUUAUACACCUGACCAAAAAAGACGAAGAAAACUGCGACGCUUUAUGACGGGACUGUAAGAUCAUACGAACUAAGAGCAUAUUUACACAAUUUAAGUUCCGUGAUCAUAGACUGAACCAGCGAUAGUUGCGAAAAAACCUUUUAAUUGCAUAACUUAGUUCAGAUCCAACAGUGACAUACACAAACUGAGUUUCAUAUUCAUAUUCGUUUAAUUUGAAAUGAUUAGACGUUACUUUCUGUUCGCUCGAAUAUUAAUCCGCCUAUCCAGAGUGUUUUCUGUAGACAUCCACUCAAAAGUGCGCACUUUUAAGCCUCCUGUGCGUGUCACGUCUCAAUCAUAUCAUCCAGAGAAGAAGAGCCAGUUUUUUAUGGAUAUGCUGCAUGUUGUGGAGACACGCAGCGUGGCAUGUGGAGAAGAUGAAUCGAGUCUCAUGGAGGAAAACAAUAACUCUGUGUCCACACAACAACAACAACAACAACAACACCAGAGCACUGCCAAGAAGAGCAGAGAUGCUGGAGCUGAACUGAACAACACUACUAAGGGUGAGACAUGCUCACCAGAUCCUGAAUUCAAAGGUGGUAAGAAAGUGAAAAAAGCAAAGAAAGACCGAAAGAAAUGGUCAGCCAAGAAGAAGAAAGAGAACGAGGCUCAAUGCACAGACAGUCUGAUGGCAGAACUGCCCUUUGCAAACACAGAGAUCUGGAAAGAGCUGGGCUUUGCCAGCUCAGAAUCAAGCGUGAAGAAAAAGCGCAAGAGAGGCGAGAGUGGACGAGUGGGGAGUGAGGAAGAUGGGGAUGGAAAGAAAAAGAAGAAAAAGGAGACAGCUCGCCCAAACUACUUUGUCUCAGUGCCAAUCACCAACCCAAAGAUCAAGCAGACAGUGGAGGACCUGCAGAAUCUGGUGAUUGAGAAGGAUUCACGUCUCUCGCGAGCGCUGAUACCUGUGAACACUUUACACAUCACUCUACUGGUGACACACUUGAGUACACAGGAGCAGGUCGAUCUCGCUGCAUCUACACUCUCAGAUCUGGAGUCUACUCUGAGCGCUCUGCUGGCCGGCAGGAGUCUGAUUCUGCCCUUUUGUGGAGUCGGACAUUUCAAACAGGAAGUGGCGUUUGUUCAGAUUGCAGAAGGAGAACAUCUGAGCACACUCACACACAUGGCAGAGAUGGUGAGGAAGGGGUUUGAGGAGAGGGGCAUUGCGUCCGGAGAUGACAAAGCAUUCAAACCUCAUCUGACGUUUCUGAAACUCUCUCGAGCACCCAAAUUACGCAAGCAGGGUAUUAAAAAGCUCGACCCCUCUCUGUUCUCAGAGUUUGAGAGUGCAGUAUUUGGAGACGAAUGUGUGUGUAGAGUGGAUCUGUGCUCCAUGCUAAAGAAAAAGACCCCAGAUGGAUACUACCACUGCCAGAAGAGUGUCACCUUCAGUCCUGUGAGAUGGUAGAGCCCAGGAACCUGAAUGACUCCACUACUGCCACAGUGCUGUUUAGAAUGGUGAGGGGGGUCAGUGUUGUGGUAUUCCUCCUGAAGUCCACAAUGAUCUCCACCGUUUUGAGCGUGUUCAGCUCCAGGUUGUUUUGACUGCACCAGACAGCCAGCUGUUCAACCUCCCUUCUGUAUGCAGACUCAUCGUCAUCUCGGAUGAGGCCGAUGACAGUGGUGUCAUCUGCAAACUUUAGGAGCUUGACAGAGGGGUCCUUGGCGAUGCAGUCAUUGGUGUAGAGGGAGAAGAGUAGUGGGGAGAGCAUACAUCCCUGGGGGGCACCAGUGCUGAUUGUACAGGUCCUAGAAGUGAGUUUCCCCUGUCUCACAAGCUGCUGCCUGUCCGUCAGAAAGCAGGUAAUCCACUGACAGAUAGACAUGGGAACAGAGAGUUGGUGUAAUUUAUUCUGGAGUAUAGCUGGGAUGAUGGUGUUGAAAGCUGAACUGAAGUCCACAAAAAGGAUUCUUGCAUAUGUCCCUGGUCUGUCCAGAUGUUGCAGGAUAUGAUGCAAUCCCAUGUUGACUGCAUCAUCCACAGACCUGUUUGCUCGAUAAGCAAAUUGAAGGGGAUCUAGAAAGGGUUCAGUGAUGUUCUUCAGGUGGGCCAACAGCAGUCUCUCAAAUGAUUUCUUGACCACAGACGUCAGGGCAACAGAAUCGAAUUGUUGAGCUGCUCGUCUUACGUCAGUUUCCUGCUGAAAUGAACACUAGAGGCGCUACAGUGACAAUGACUUUUAUUCACUUUCCAACCCUCUACGGACAGAAAGAAAGAAAAGAAUCGCCAUUGGCUAGUACAUUUUUGUUUUUACUCGCCAGACUUUUGAUGACAUGUAAGCGUAAUGCACCUGAAAAAGAUAUUAAGCAAACUGAGAAAGGGGACCUCUUCAUAUAUGGUAUGCAAUAUUGUACAUUUUAUUUUUAUAUUUUGCCUUAUCAUUUUAAUCACAUUUUAGCUUUAUUUAAAAUGUACAAAUUUCACAUUCAAUCAAUUUAUAUGAUGUCAUGAAAUUGCACUUUUAAUUAUGAAACAAGCUGUUGUCACUGUUUGAAAAUUUCAAGGUUGGAACCUUAUAAUGAUAAUUAGGGCUGUCACUAUUAUGAAAUUUGGCUGACGAUUAAUUGUCAAACAAAUAAUUGUGAUUAUGACGAUUAACUGUCUGUUUUAGGUCUUUCAUGAAUAUGAUGAUUAAUUGUCAUACGAACUGUCACUAUGUGUGCUUCAUGCUCACAACAAAGUCAUUUAUUGAAAUUAAAAUAAGGGUAUAUGAUUUCCAUUUCAGGCUUCAAAAACCUAUGAAUGACAAUCAAAUAUUAAAGGAUACAUUUUAAAUUAAUUAAAAUAAUAUUUCUAAAUAACUCAAAUAUAUCUCUCUUUUUUGUCAGAUUUAGUCUUGGUCCAUUUUACUUAUUCACACUGAUUUUUUAUAUUUUUUAUUAUAUUUAUAGGACUUUGAGAUUCUGUUUUUUGCAUAGUAUGAUCUCCACAGAAAUAGAGUAGAUGUGCAUGUCCUCCUCUGUGUCACUGCGUGUCAUUAACACUGUGUGAAUGAACCACCAAUGACAUUUGCCAUUACACUGUCGUUAAAUUAAACAGGAGCACUUUGCCUUCACUGUUACUUUAAUAAGUUAAUGCGUUUUUUAUAUUUUCGUGGGAGUUUGGCGCAAACCUCUGAAGACGGCGCACACAUCAGAGCGCUUGAGAAGUGGUCCACGGUGUGGUUCCAUAAGACAAUCAGCGUUCAACUGAAUGAGACACAAACGCGUUUAACAGCGUGCUCAUGAGUCAGCAUGCAGGGAAAGACGAGGCUCAAUCCAGCUUCUUAAUCACCUGCUUUUUAUUUAAGUGAUUAUUUUUUUUAAAGGAUCUCACUACACAACUCAAUCCCUGGCGUGUGAAAUGUUAAUAUUUGCUCGCCAGUGGCUAAUAACAGACAUAUUUUAGUCACAUUUUAGCACAAAUUGUACUCGCAAUUGCAAGUGAUUUACUCCCAUUGUAGAGAGCUGCUUUCACACAAAUCACAAGUAAAACGUCAGAUUAUCAGUUCAUAAACUCGUACUUUUUAUCCUGUUCCUCACACAAUGCUAUCUUAUGACAUCUAAACACUUUUACUAUAGCACAUGACUCAUUUUAACGUUUGCAUUACAUAUUCAACUACAUUUACAAGCUUGUUCGAGUGUGAUCGAAUUGUGCGGUAGCUCGACUGAUAGAGCAUUACACUUGUGAUGUAAAGGAGUGGGGUACGAGUCCUGAAGAGCACAUGAGUCCACACGUGAACCCAAAGUGUCAUAGAAGCACCACAAAAUGACGUGGUCGUGUUUUUCAUCUCACAUUUGCUUUUUCUGACACUAUUGGUUAGGUUUAGGUUUAAGGUUUAAGUUCAGGAUUUUUGUUGAUUUAAAACUCAAUAGAGCAUUAACCUUAAAAACCUCAUCUGUUUGGGAGAACACUGAACUCGCUUUGAGGUCCACACUGUGGACAUUUCACCUCGGAACUGCUGCGAUACGUGUCAUGAACCACAUAAUGUCAUGUUUCAAAAAUGUCGCUACAGUCACGUAAUUUUCAUGAAUCAAUCAGCAAUUGAUUUUAUACUCUUUGUUCGGGUACAUUUCAUGUCCUGGUCAUACUUCACUCCAAACUCCAAAGAAAUAUGAUAUUAUGUUUUGCAUAAAGAAAAUGAAGCCUUUUUACCACUUGCAUUUUCACAGCAGAAAUUAAAGGUGUUUUCUCAGUGUUCUUGUUCGUGAAAGGCUUUGUGAGUUUCACCCUAGUACAUAAUGAUUACAUUUAGAGGAGAAAAAAGGCAGAAGAUAAAAGCACACUUGAUUAAAUCACUAUAACUGCCUGAAGCCCCAUGUUCACCCACAGAAUAUAUGUGUGUGCGUCAGAGCAUGUUAGUAUCUGAUGUUACUUUUAGUGACUGUUGCUGUGUGUGUUGUAUUUUCUGUAGCUCAUUUGAGCCUGAUUUCCCAUUUUAUGAGCUCUUAGUUUAUUUACAGGCAUUGUUAAUUGAACAUGAAACCUAAUUAGUCAUUAUUUUGUCUCGGUUGGAGUGUAACUGUGAGUUAUGUAAUGGUGUAUUGUUACUGUCAAGCGUAAUAUGAGGUAAUUUAAUUGUCAGAGCGUUUCAUGCCAGAUUAAAUUGUAAAUAAUCGAGUGAGCCGCAUCAUAGUAUGGGCUGGGUGAUAUAGCUAAAAAAUAUAUCCUGAUAUUUUUCAGCAUUUUUGCUGUGAAACGACUUUAAAGGUGUUUUUAUUUCAAUCAUUGAAACAGACAUUGUAGACAGUUUGAUUCAAAAUGUUUAAUGCAAGAUGUAAAACUAGUUUUUACAUUAAUGUAUGUUUUUACUCACUGUUUAAUCAUUUUAAUCAUCCUUUAUAUGCAUAUAAAACAAGACAUAAAUAAAGAGCAAUAUUUACCUACAUAUAUUUCACUCAAACAUUUUCAUAUCAGAAAAGUGCCACAUGGCGGCUCAACGCUUUUAAGUGAAGGCGCAAACAGAUCAUUGAAUGAGAGUUUUUAAUUGAUUAUUUGAAACGGUCAGUUUGAACUGAUUCAUAGAAAUUAAUCAAACUUAUCAAAUUUAACAUUGUUUUUUCUAUUGAAGUUGAAAUCAGAGACUAUUAAAACAUCUCGGUCUUACCACUCACAUUCUCACGAGUUGCAGGACAAGGGUCGAUCGCGAACAGGGUUGUGAAGGUUACUUCUAAAAUGUAUUCCACUACAGAUUACAGAAUACAUGCUGUAAAAUGUCAUUUGUAACGUAUUCCGUUAGAUUACUCAAGGUCAGUAACGUAUUCUAAAUACUUUUUCAGCACCGGCAGUUGUUUUUCUUUUAUUGUUUUGACCAUAAACAAGUGAAUAACGAAUGAAAAAUCUGCCAGUACAGUGAGACAAAAGGCACUUAUUUUAAAAAUACAUUCUCUGAAAAAAGUUGUAUGCAUCUCAAGUAAAUGUAUCUUGUUUUAAGUUUUUGCUGUUGUUAGAUAUUUCUACAGGAUAACAAUAAAAACAUUCUCAAUAAGAAUAGGAUUUUUGCAGUACAGGUUUGCCCUAAUAUCAAAGGUCUUACUAGAGAAAAAAAAAUAUUAUAUGAGGUGAAUUUUCUUGAUAGAAGUCAUUAUUAAAAAUAUUGUCGGGCCUAGCAGGUGCAUGUAAAGGCUAGAAAUAGCAUUUUAGCUUAGCAUAAAGCUAAAUGUUCAUAUAACAAUUUAUACACAGUUAACUAUUUCUGCUGCUCCAAACUUACUUGAAAACCCCACAAAGUGAAUACAACCACAUCUUUAUCUGAUCAAACUGUAUGUGGAUUCUGUUCAUAUAAGGAGGCAGAAAUAUUUGUAGCUUUCUAUACAAUGCUAAAGGCUACACUGGUUUGCAUUUCUAAUAUAAACAUUGUUUAUUAUUGUAAAAAUGCCCAAUCAGCAUAAAAAAAACAUUGACAAACCAUAUAUUAUUGAAAUCAUGUAUUUAUUGGAUUCAUGUUUCAUUUGUCUAA